CUUGGUAUCCCCACCUUCCUGGGCUCACCUCUGCCCCACUCAGGUGUUUAAGACAUGCAGCAGAGAGGCACCAUCCUGACCUGGUGCCACAUCCUAGCCCCUUUCCUUACUGGAUCCUCAAACCAGAAGAAAACCUGAAUCUCUGAGGACGUCAACAAGACCGCCUGGGAGCUGCCCAAGACCUACGUGUCCCCGACGCACGUCGGCAGCGGGGCCUAUGGCGCCGUGUGCUCGGCCAUCGACAAGCGGUCAGGGGAGAAGGUGGCCAUCAAGAAGUUGAGCCGACCCUUUCAGUCCGAGAUCUUCGCCAAGCGCGCCUACCGGGAGCUGCUGCUGCUGAAGCACAUGCAGCAUGAGAACGUCAUUGGGCUCCUGGAUGUCUUCACCCCAGCCUCCUCCCUGCGCAACUUCCAUGACUUCUACCUGGUGAUGCCCUUCAUGCAGACGGAUCUGCAGAAGAUCAUGGGGAUGGAGUUCAGUGAGGAGAAAAUCCAGUACC
rnacentral:sRNA from 1 species